rnacentral:rRNA from 1 species
AGCAGCCGCGGUAAUUCCAGCUCCAAUAGCGUAUAUUAAAGUUGUUGCAGUUAAAAAGCUCGUAGUUGAAUUUCGGGAUCAAUAUGUUUGGUAGUGCCUCGGUACGUACUAGCAUAUUGGUUUCUCCUUUCUGAAGAACCAUGAUGUCAUUUAUUUGGUGUCGUGGGGAAUCAGGACUGUUACUUUGAAAAAAUUAGAGUGUUUAAAGCAGGCUCACGCUUGAAUACAUUAGCAUGGAAUAAUGAAAUAGGACGUUUGAUUCUAUUUUGUUGGUUUCUAGGAUCGACGUAAUGAUUAAUAGGGAUAGUUGGGGGCAUUAGUAUUCAAUUGUCAGAGGUGAAAUUCUUGGAUUUAUUGAAGACUAACUACUGCAAAGCAUUUGCCAAGGAUGUUUUCAUUAAUCAAGAACGAAAGUUAGGGGAUCGAAGACGAUCAGAUACCGUCGUAGUCUUAACCAUAAACUAUGCCGACUAGGAUCGGAUGAUGUUAAUUUUUAAUGACUCAUUCGCGCCUUAAC